rnacentral:tRNA from 1 species
GGGGGUAUGGUGGAAUGGUAGACACAACAGACUUAAAAUCUGUCGGCUUUACAUGUCGUGAGGGUUCAAGUCCCUCUACCCCCA